UGGUGCUGGAGGCACUGGUUUUUAAAUAAAGCUGAAUCUUUCUGUUACUUUUCAGGCAGAGGCAAGGCUGGCAGCAAAACGGGCUGCCCGGGCAGAAGCAAGAGAUAUCCGCAUGAGAGAACUGGAACGGCAGCAAAAAGAGGAAGAGUCGGAAAGAGCCAGGUCUUCCCACAGAUCCAGUCAUCGUCGUCCUUCUCUGGUUUGUAAUAACCUACAAACUUGCCUCUGAUACUUUUCCUCAUCAGCUUGCUGCAGCCACUCACACACCUUUACUGUGUUUGUUUUUAUCUUAUCAGGGAGUUGAGGAUGCAUUGUCCAUUCGAAGUCUUGGCAGUCACAGGGUUGGUAUUUUAAGUUGUUUACACCCUAAUAGCAAAGCUAUCCCUUUGUCUUUUCUAAAAAAAGAAAAUAUUGGUAAAGUUCUUUUCAUUGGAAAGUGGUAUUUUCUCUCAAAUUAUUGCUAUAAGUAAAUCAAUUCUAAAAUCGUAAAUAUUUUCAUCUAUUAACAUGUAUAUUUACUUUUUUUCUGUAAAAGGACUUUUGAUUUUGUAAAAUCAUUACAAAAUAAUAAGAUUGAUUUUAUAAAAUAACACCUGCAUGGUUCUAACUUUCAGAUUUUUCCUACUUUCAG
rnacentral:lncRNA from 1 species